rnacentral:ncRNA from 1 species
AAAAAGAAAGCGCCAGAACCAACGUUGAAGUUCGAAAUGUAAAGUUCGAAGUUCGAGGAUGGAAGUUCUAGGACGGAAAUUCGAGGAUGGAAGUUCAGGGUUCGAAGUUCGAGGAUCAGAGAUCAGGGGCCGCGGAUCGCGGAUCCGGGGCGGAAGAUCGAAGAUCAGGUUGGUUGACGAGGAAGAGGGUUAUCGAAAGUUUCGGCGGAUCCCUCUCGGUGGCUUGCCAUCGUUAAGUUUGCCGCAAAACCGGGGAGCAAUUCCCGCGACAAAAAGCAAACCCGCAAGACAA